AGGAUGAACGCUGGCGGCAGGCCUAAUACAUGCAAGUCGAACGGACCCUUCGGGGUUAGUGGCGGACGGGUGAGUAACACGUGGGAACGUGCCCUUUGGUUCGGAACAACUCAGGGAAACUUGAGCUAAUACCGAAUGUGCCCCCAUCCUUAAACAAGAUGGGUGGGAAAGAUUUAUCGCCAUUGGAGCGGCCCGCGUCUGAUUAGCUAGUUGGUGAGGUAAAGGCUCACCAAGGCGACGAUCAGUAGCUGGUCUGAGAGGAUGAUCAGCCACACUGGGACUGAGACACGGCCCAGACUCCUACGGGAGGCAGCAGUAGGGAAUCUUGCGCAAUGGGCGAAAGCCUGACGCAGCCAUGCCGCGUGAAUGAUGAAGGUCUUAGGAUUGUAAAAUUCUUUCAGCGGGACGAUAAUGACGGUACCGCAGAAGAAGCCCCGGCUAACUUCGUGCCAGCAGCCGCGGU
rnacentral:rRNA from 1 species